rnacentral:rRNA from 1 species
GACGAACCGUCCGAACGUUACUCGGAAUUACUGGGCUUAAAGGGUGCGUAGGCGGCCCUGAAAGUUGGGUGUGAAAGACCUCGGCUCAACCGAGGAAUUGCGCCCAAAACUACAGGGCUUGAGGAAGGCAGAGGUGAGUGGAACUUGCGGUGGAGCGGUGAAAUGCGUUGAUAUCGCAAGGAACACCAGUGGCGAAAGCGACUCACUGGGCCUUUUCUGACGCUGAUGCACGAAAGCUAGGGGAGCGAAGAGG